GAGUUUGAUCGUGGCUCAGGAUGAACGCUGGCGGCGUGCCUAACACAUGCAAGUCGAACGGAUCCAUAUUGAAACCUAGUGAUGUAUGGAUUAGUGGCGGACGGGUGAGUAACGCGUGGAUAACCUGCCGUAUACAGGGGGAUAACACUUAGAAAUAGGUGCUAAUACCGCAUAAGCGCACGGUUCCGCAUGGAACAGUGUGAAAAACUCCGGUGGUAUACGAUGGAUCCGCGUCUGAUUAGCCAGUUGGCGGGGUAACGGCCCACCAAAGCGACGAUCAGUAGCCGGCCUGAGAGGGUGAACGGCCACAUUGGGACUGAGACACGGCCCAAACUCCUACGGGAGGCAGCAGUGGGGAAUAUUGCACAAUGGGGGAAACCCUGAUGCAGCGACGCCGCGUGAGUGAAGAGUAUUUCGGUACGUAAAGCUCUAUCAGCAGGAGAAAAAAAGUCCUUUGGACUUUGGACGGUACCUGACCAGAAGCCCCGGCUAACUCGUGCCAGCCGCCGCCGUAAC
rnacentral:rRNA from 1 species